rnacentral:rRNA from 1 species
UACAGAGGGUGCAAGCGUUGUCCGGAAUCAUUGGGCGUAAAGCGCGUGUAGGCGGCCCGGUAAGUCCGCUGUGAAAGUCGGGGGCUCAACCCUCGAAUGCCGGUGGAUACUGUCGGGCUAGAGUGCGGAAGAGGCGAGUGGAAUUCCUGGUGUAGCGGUGAAAUGCGCAGAUAUCAGGAAGAACACCCGUGGCGAAAGCGGCUCUCUGGAACGGUACUGACGCUGAGACGCGAAAGCGUGGGGAGCGAACAGG